AAAAAUUAUCAUGGAGGCAGAGGUUAAUGCAAGUGUUUAGCAGAUGCCUUACAGUAAAAUCUGCAUUUAAAAAAAUUGAAAAAAACCCAAACAACAAAAACGCCCCUACAAACUCAUUAAAACUUAAAUAUCGGAUAAUCUCAAACCAGCUUACUGCCCGCGCCUGGUCACAUCCACCAGCGUUCACCCGAGUGACUCGCGCCUGAAAUCGGUUUCAUGCUUCUUGAACUGGUGUGAUCGGAAAGUGAAGAAGUCGGAAAAUGGAGAAGUGAGUGUCAUAUACCUCCCCAGACUUGGAGGGAAACGGAGCCGCGGCCAAAAGGAGUGGGUGUAAACGCGACAACAAAAAUAAAUACUUUAUAUCACCCUGCAGAACUUAUUUUACUGAGUCAA